AAAGUCGUAACAAGGUUUCCGUAGGUGAACCUGCGGAAGGAUCAUUACAUAUUGAGCGUGGCUGGGAUCCCCAAGAGCCAACGUUUUGCCUCUGGCAGGCGUAACUCUUGCCCAGUUUGCGUGAAUAUUCACCCAUGUCUUUUGCGUACUUCUUGUUUCCUUGGUGGGCUUGCCCGCCAUUAGGACAAAAUUAAACCUUUUGCAAUUGCAGUCAGCGUCAGUAAAAUAUAAUCGUUACAACUUUCAACAACGGAUCUCUUGGUUCUG
rnacentral:misc_RNA from 1 species